AGAGCGAACGCUGGCGGCAGGCCUAACACAUGCAAGUCGAGCGCUCCGCAAGGGGAGCGGCAGACGGGAGAGUAACACGUGGGAGCGUACCCUUCAGUUCGGAACAACCCAGGGAAACUUGGGCUAAUACCGAAUACGUCCGUAAGGAGAAAGAUUUAUCGCAGCAGGAGGGGCCCGCGUCGGAUUAGGUAGUUGGUGGGGUAACGGCCCACCAAGCCUGUGAUCCGUAGCUGGUCUGAGAGGAUGAUCAGCCACACUGGGACUGAGACACGGCCCAGACUCCUACGGGAGGCAGCAGUGGGGAAUAUUGGACAAUGGGCGCAAGCCUGAUCCAGCAAUGCCGCGUGAGUGAUGAAGGCCUUCGGGUUGUAAAGCUCUUUCGCACGCGACGAUGAUGACGGUAGCGUGAGAAGAAGCCCCGGCUAACUUCGUGCCAGCAGCCGC
rnacentral:rRNA from 1 species